rnacentral:rRNA from 1 species
GUGCCAGCCGCCGCGGUAAUACCGGCAGCUCAAGUGAUGGCCGAUUUUAUUGGGCCUAAAGCGUCCGUAGCCGGCCAGACAGGUCCGUCGGGAAAUCUGCACGCCCAACGUGCAGACGUCCGGCGGAAACCAGCUGGCUUGGGGCCGGAAGACCCAGGGGGUACGUCCGGGCUAGGAGUGAAAUCCUGUAAUCCCAGACGGACCGCCGGUGGCGAAAGCGCCCUGGGAGGACGGACCCGACGGUGAGGGACGAAAGCUAGGGUCACGAACCGGAUUAGAUACCCGGGUAGUCC